AUCGGAUUUUGAUGUUAGGGUCUUAAGGCCUGAUUUAAUAUGUCUUAAGAGGGCUAACUUAGGGUUUGGACUGAGAUUAAGUCCAAGGGAUGAGAGCAUAUGAGACAUGGGUGUACAUGGACUCGAUGAGUACUUUCAUAUAUUGGGUUCAGCCAAAAAAUUUUUUGGUCAGGCAUAAUGACUAUAUAUAUAUAUAGAUUGUAUUAGGAUUUUUAAUGUAUAGAAU
rnacentral:lncRNA from 1 species